rnacentral:rRNA from 1 species
GGUGCUGCAUGGUUGUCGUCAGCUCGUGUCGUGAGAUGUUCGGGUUAAGUCCCGCAACGAGCGCAACCCCUGUCCUGUGUUGCUACUCCGCAAGGAGAGGACUCUCAGGAGACUGCCGUGGAUAACACGGAGGAAGGUGGGAUGACGUCAAAUCAUCAUGGCCUUUAUGUCCAGGGCUACACACGUGAUACAAUGGUACAGACAGAGGGCUGCAAGACCGUAAGGUGGAGCCAAUCCCUAAACUGUAUCCCAGUUCAGAUCGAGGGCUGCAAUUCGCCCUCGUGAAGUUGGAAUCGCUAGUAAUCGCAGAUCAGCAGGCUGCGGUGAAUACGUUCCCGGGCCUU